UAAUAGAGGUUGCAAAUGACAUUAGUAAGCUAAUCGAGUGACUGUUAAACGUUGAGAUUAGUUGAAAGGGGAUUUUGCCGAAAUGCAUUGUUGGAUAACAGCCGGCAAUGGAUUGGGACGUAGUUUAAGAGAUUACGGACUGUCGCAAAUGUUUGCGGAGCGCUAUUAU
rnacentral:ncRNA from 2 species